rnacentral:rRNA from 1 species
AGAGUUUGAUCCUGGCUCAGGAUGAACGCUGGCGGCGUGCCUAACACAUGCAAGUCGAACGGGCCGCGCCUGAAACCUAGUGAAGGCGCGGCCAGUGGCGGACGGGUGAGUAACGCGUGGGCAACCUGCCGCGCACAGGGGGACAACGGCCGGAAACGGCCGCUAAUACCGCAUAUUCCCGCGGGGCCGCAUGGCCCUGCGGGGAAAGCCCGGGGCGACCCGGACGGUGCGCGAUGGGCCCGCGUCCGAUUAGCUUGUUGGCGGGGCAGCGGCCCACCAAGGCGACGAUCGGUAGCCGGCCUGAGAGGGCGGACGGCCACACUGGGACUGAGACACGGCCCAGACUCCUGCGGGAGGCAGCAGUGGGGAAUAUUGCACAAUGGGGGGAACCCUGAUGCAGCGACGCCGCGUGGGUGAAGGAGCACCUCGGUGCGUAAAGCCCUAUCGGCAGGGAAGAAACAGACGGUACCUGACUAAGAAGCCCCGGCUAACUACGUGCCAGCAGCCGCGGUAAUACGUAGGGGGCAAGCGUUAUCCGGAUUCACUGGGUGUAAAGGGAGCGUAGACGGCGACGCAAGUCUGGAGUGAAAGCCCGGGGCCCAACCCCGGGACUGCUCUGGAAACUGCGUCGCUGGAGUACGGGAGGGGCAGGCGGAAUUCCUGGUGUAGCGGUGAAAUGCGUAGAUAUCAGGAGGAACACCGGCGGCGAAGGCGGCCUGCUGGACUGAAACUAAAGUAGAGGCUCGAAAGCGUGGGGAGCAAACAGGAUUAGACACCAUGGUAGUCCACGCCGUAAACGAU